UAUAUGCUUCCAUAUUCCAACACGGAUAGUACCGUUGUCUUAUACAGUCUCAGGACGUCUGAUGGAUGUGCGCCCCACCAGAAUCCUGUGACUGUCCUUAGAAAGUUGAUUCUUUUACUGCAUUUUUGCACCAGACGGGUGAAGUGUGUACUCCAGUUUAGCCUUGAAUUAAACCAUACACCAAGGUAUCGAAAAUUGUCGGUAGUUGAUAUCUUUUCACCAUACAGAAAGACA